rfam:Gossypium hirsutum cultivar TM-1 chromosome 16, whole genome shotgun sequence
AACCCAUGGUGAGGGAACUUUUCAAUAAAUCCUUAUACCUCUCCCAUGCAUCAUAUAGAGUCUCUAAAUCCAUUUGCGUGAAGGAAGAGAUAUCAUUCCUCAGCUU